rnacentral:rRNA from 1 species
UACGUAGGGUGCAAGCGUUAAUCGGAAUUACUGGGCGUAAAGCGUGCGCAGGCGGUUGUGCAAGGCCGAUGUGAAAUCCCCGGGCUUAACCUGGGAAUGGCAUUGGUGACUGCACGGCUAGAGUGUGUCAGAGGGGGGUAGAAUUCCACGUGUAGCAGUGAAAUGCGUAGAGAUGUGGAGGAAUACCGAUGGCGAAGGCAGCCCCCUGGGAUAACACUGACGCUCAUGCACGAAAGCGUGGGGAGCAAACAGG